GCAAGUCGAACGGUAACAUUUCUCGCUUGCGAGAAGAUGACGAGUGGCGCACGGGUGCGUAACGCGUAUACAAUCUGCCUUUAACAAAGGGAUAGCCCAUGGAAACGUGGAUUAAUACCUUAUAAUAUGUAGAGAUGGCAUCAUCAUUACAUCAAAGAUUUUUUCGGUUAGAGAGGAGUAUGCGUGACAUUAGCUAGUUGGUGAGGUAACGGCCCACCAAGGCUACGAUCCCUAGCUGGUCUGAGAGGAUGAUC
rnacentral:rRNA from 1 species